rnacentral:rRNA from 1 species
CUUUCAACAACGGAUCUCUAGGCUCUUGCAUCGAUGAAGAACGCAGUGAAAUGCGAUAAGUAAUGUGAAUUGCAGACUCUCGUGAAUCAUCGAAUCUUUGAACGCACAUUGCGCCCCUGGUAUUCCAUAGGGCAUGCCUGUCUGAGCGUCA